rnacentral:tRNA from 3 species
GGGCGAGUAGCUCAGUCGGUUAGAGCACGGGACUUAUAAGCCCGCGGUCGGUGGUUCAAAUCCACCCUCGCCCACCA